rnacentral:rRNA from 1 species
AAGACCUUGCACUUUUGGAGCGGCCGAUGUCUGAUUAGCUAGUUGGUGGGGUAAUGGCCUACCAAAGCUUCGAUCAGUAGCUGGUCUGAGAGGACGGCCAGCCACACUGGGACUGAGACACGGCCCAGACUCCUACGGGAGGCAGCAGUGGGGAAUUUUGGACAAUGGGCGCAAGCCUGAUCCAGCCAUGCCGCGUGAGUGAAGAAGGCCUUCGGGUUGUAAAGCUCUUUCAGCCGGGAAGAAAAGGUUGCGGCUAAUAAUCGCAAUCCAUGACGGUACCGAAAGAAGAAGCACCGGCUAACUACGUGCCAGCAGCCGCGGUAAUACGUAGGGUGCGAGCGUUAAUCGGGAUUACUGGGCGUAAAGGGUGCGCAGGCGGUUUUGUAAGUCAGAUGUGAAAUCCCCGGGCUUAACCUGGGAACU